AGCGCUGCCCACCUGCCGGGCAGCGCCGCCCGCCCGCGCAGCGCCCCGACCCCGGGGCUGCCGGCAGCGGGGCCGGGGCCGGGCGGGAGCGGACGGGCUUACCUGCACUUGGGGCUGCUUUGGUUGACUUUCCAAGUCAAGGGAAAUGUGUGUGUGUUUGGGAUGGAGGCAGCAGCGCGCAUGCGCCAUCAAACUUGCCCUGAUCCCGGAUUUUUCCUCCUCGCGCUCCCCUUUGCUUUGAUUAUUGAAUUUUCCUAUUUCUAACAGGAGGGCGGGCGUCGCGCAAAACCCGGCCUGGAGGCCGCCGCCGCCCGCUCCGGCCCGCCCGGGGUGGGGGAAUGGGGGGAGCGGCGGGAGGGAGCGGGCACGGAGCGGACUCGGUCUCCAGGCAGGCAGGGCAGACAGGCAAGGGAGAGGCGCCUGCAAAACCCGGACCGGAUCACCCUCCCCUGGCAAGGGAAAAGGCGAGAAAGUGUCCCCAUUUCCCAGCCCGCGCGGGCAGCUGCCUGUCCCCUACCCUGGUUCCUGCACCAGCGGUUCCUCUUCCCCAUCCGUCCUCCUUCCCAGGGAACCACUAAGAAGAAAUCGGCUGGAUCCCCAUCAUACCCUGCUCCAAAUCCUCUGCGCAGAGGAGCCAUUGCUUCAUGCUGACAGCAGUGGGGCAAGAAUUAUUUAUAUUGAAGAGGAUCAAGCCCUGCAUUUUGAAACGUCACACUUUUGCUUAGAAAUACAUAUGAUUAAUAUCAGUAUGCAAGUAUGUAAUAUAAAUAUUGAAACCUUGUGAACCUAAUUAAAGGCCUACAGACUGAUACUGACUUUUGGUUGGUAUAAGUGAGUGUGUACAAGAAUUUACCCUGCUCAGAAUCUGUCCUUACAUGUUUUAUUUACCUCAAAUCUAUACAAAAGUUCAAGCAAAAGACUUGACACCUAACAAGAAACAUCUUGCAUUUAACCCCAGUUCUGCCCCAAAAUUUCCCCGUCACUUCACUAUUCCAUGUGUCUGGGUAACAUCCACUGGUUUGGGGCUUAGUCCUAAAGGAGACUACUAAAGGUAACAAAUAAAUACAGGAGGAAACAAUAAUAAAUAAUCAACAACAAUAAUAAAACUGGAAUCCAAGUGUGAAGUAUGUUUGUAAUUGUCUGUGUUAGAAAAUAAUCAACUAAAUAGCAAUAAAUAAUAAAAAUUUAUAUUAACAAUUCAUUUGUGCUGAUACAGACCUUCAAGUUAGAGUUCAUUACAUUAAUUUACUAAUUAAUUAAGCACUACAUCACCUGGCACCUACAUAGCUUUUAUUACACUUUAUGGAUGGAAAACUUAAGAGUCUUGCCUAGGGACACAGUGAAUCAGUGGCAGAGCUGGACACAGAACUGGAAUAUCCUCCACAGCUCUGUUUACAGCAUAAAGUUGCCCUGAUUUUCUGACUGAUUUAGUUCAGCAGAUGCAAUUCUCAGUGUGGGGACUUCAAUUUGGGUGCAAGAUUUAGUUAUUUUGUUUGAGCUUAAAUCAGUUCUUAAUUAUAUCAAGCUAGUUAUAUAAAGGCAGUUUUAAAAAUAGCCUUGUAAGCAUCUACAUUUUGGGCUAUUGACUUAAAAACACACCUUUAGUUUAAAUGCUGCAAUUUUCCUGAUAGGUCCCAAGUCACAGCAGUUCUUGAGG
rnacentral:lncRNA from 13 species